AUGUACCCACGUACAUUCCGGCUCCUCCGCGCCAUCCGCACCCACCUGACCACUGCUCGCUACGGUUUGUUAGCC
rnacentral:sRNA from 1 species